AUUGAACGCUGGCGGCAGGCCUAACACAUGCAAGUCGAACGGCAGCACAGAAGAGCUUGCUCUUUGGGUGGCGAGUGGCGGACGGGUGAGUAAUGUCUGGGAAACUGCCCGAUGGAGGGGGAUAACUACUGGAAACGGUAGCUAAUACCGCAUAACGUCGCGAGACCAAAGUGGGGGACCUUCGGGCCUCACACCAUCGGAUGUGCCCAGAUGGGAUUAGCUAGUAGGUGGGGUAAUGGCUCACCUAGGCGACGAUCCCUAGCUGGUCUGAGAGGAUGACCAGCCAGACUGGAACUGAGAGACGGGCCAGACUCCUACGGGAGGCAGCAGUGGGGAAUAUUGCACAAUGGGGGCAAGCCUGAUGCAGCCAUGCCGCGUGUAUGAAGAAGGCCUUCGGGUUGUAAAGUACUUUCAGCGGGGAGGAAGGCGGUGAGGUUAAUAACCUCGCCGAUUGACGUUACCCGCAGAAGAAGCACCGGCUAACUCCGUGCCAGCAGCCGCAGUAA
rnacentral:rRNA from 1 species